rnacentral:rRNA from 1 species
UACGUAUGGUGCAAGCGUUAUCCGGAUUUACUGGGUGUAAAGGGAGCGUAGGCGGCGCGUUAAGUCUGAUGUGAAAACCCGAGGCUCAACCACGGGAGUGCAUUGGAAACUGGCGGGCUGGAGUGCCGGAGAGGUAAGCGGAAUUCCUAGUGUAGCGGUGAAAUGCGUAGAUAUUAGGAGGAACACCAGUGGCGAAGGCGGCUUACUAGACGGCAACUGACGCUGAGGCUCGAAAGCGUGGGGAGCAAACAGG